UUUAUGACGAUUUUUUGACAAAACGCAUGAUGACACGUUGUUUAAUAUUGACAUCAUUCAUCCAAACCGGAAAAUCAUUCCAACAACCAUACAAAAAACAAUAAAACGAAAAAUGUAGGGCUUUCAUAAUGCAGUUUGAAUUAUGGGCUUACUCCGCAUGCUGGUGGUAUCCUACAUGCUCAUAUACAUCACAAUAUAUUUUGGUUUGGUUGGAAGUUUGAUUUAUGUACGGAGUAUAUUUUUAGACCCCAAGUACGUAGAAUCAAGUAUAUCAGAAGAGCUGUAUUCACAACAACGAUAAUAAAACAACUUAUAAUUAUAAAAGUAUAUUAAGACACUACUGGGACGGUUCAAACAGUACAAGAUUGAAAUACGAGGUAACAAAACAACUUAAAAACAUGACAGUCACACUGACCGAAGCGAAAUCAAAGGAUUUCCUAUACUUUAUAAAGAUAUGAGAUUGCUUUUUUAGUUACUUAGAUUUUAACUAUUGUAUAAAAUAUGGGAUCAAUUUUAGAUACAAAGAAUAAAAUAUUUAUGCUUGAUAAUUUUAAAUUAAACAAUUAAUAAAAUUGAAACUUCUUGGAUGUACUUAAAAAUGGAUGUUUAAAAAAAAUAUAUGAAAGUGUUUCUAUUACAAAAUAUCGACAAACAUACAAUAAACAGUUUCAAGGAAUGAAAUAAUGGUGUAAACAAAAAUAUAUCUUACAUUUAUAAAAAAAAAAACUUAUAUGAAAAAUACAUAGUAUGAUAUA